GAUAUUGCCACAUGAUGGACUUGAUUGCGCGAAGAUACCUUGUUAUGGUCAACGACAAUGAUGGUGAGGUAAAAGAGUAUUAUCAGAUGCCUGGGCUUUGGAUACUGCUCAAAAAACCAUAUGUGGCAGAGGCUUAAUCCUGAAGGUGAUAGACCUUAUGCAAGUAUGUAAGUUGCAUUGUAUAUCUGAAUUUGAAUUAGCAUUGCUUGGCUGGCUUUUGAACAGCUUUUCUACCAUAACAGUCUGGUUAGUAGUGUGUUUCCUUUCACACUAUCGUUGAACUGUGCUGCUGUACUGCUCCUUUAUUUUCUAUUGCUGCUUAAAACUUCUAAUUAACCAAUUUUUAAAGCAUGUUUGGCUAAUCCUAGAAAGUAAACUUACCUAUUUUUUUUCUCAAAAAAGUAAUUAAAUGCUUUUAAAAAUUAACAUAUCAUGCUGAAUUGUUUUUGAAAAAGUUUCUUUUAAAAAAUAGCAGACCAGUUUGGGAGAAGAAGUAACUUAUAAAGAUCCAGACAUGAUUUGGCCAAGCUUAAAGUACUUUUAAUUAACUUUACUUAUUUCUUAAGCUUAUCCAAACAGGCUCUUAGAUGAUCUCAAGACAAUAUUAUAAUUGUUACUUGGGGAGGUUCCCCACCAUUAAUUUGUUCAGACUUUUAACUUGUCACUACAAAAAAUGUUUUAAAUUGGUUUGUGCAUUUUUCUUGAAAUGAUUUCGAGUAAGUGGGAUUUUGGUUUAUCCAAUUGGUUUUAUAGCGGGAUUGGGCUACUUUGUGUGGGAUUUAAUGCAUUGCUUGAUCGUUUGAUUUGAAAGGUUAUGUAAAUUUUUUGUGGAUUUCGAUCUCAAUUUGGUUUUUGGUUGAUUUGAAGAUAAAAUGGGGAUGAUGGAAGCGAUUGAACUGUGAAAAUUUGGUUUCCAUGUUUAAGAAAUUGGGAUAAGACUGCCAACUUAAUUUAUCAUGUGAAUCAGUUAUUUGAUGCCAUUAAUUUGGCGUAGAAUUUGCUAUAAGAUGCAAGUAUCUUUUGCAACGUAGCGUAGAUAGAGAAAUCACUAGCAUCUAAUUCCUUGAGUUUUGAUUUUUUGUGCUUUAUAGUAUACUGCAAAACAAAUUUCUUCAGUCACUAUUAGAGUUAUUGUUCUUUUAAUCAUAUACUCCUAGCUUUCCAUUCUUCUUCAUUUUUUACUAUAUAUGCUAUUUGCUUUUGUUGAUGCCUACUACCGUGCAACAACAAUUAAAAGUGGACACUUGGACUGAUUUUUUAAGUCUUGUGAGAUUCAGAUAUAUAAAUGUAGAGGAUAUCUAUUCUAAAUGAUCGAGUACAAAUCUUGGUGCCCAUCUCAUGCUUUCUAUAGGAUAGAACUAACAAUUUUGGAAAAAUUUAAUGCAGUAGAUUCGAUUUUUGGUUCUUUGGGUGAAGAUCCAUUAAAGAAAGAGCUCAUUGAAACUCCUGCUCGCUUUGUGAAGUAGUUGAUUAAGUUUAGAAGCUAAAUUUGAUCUUGUCUUGGCAUAUAGUAUCUUCAAUUUCUUCCCAAGUAUGUGAAUUUCUUUUACUUUGGUAAGUGAAGAUCUUAUAGCUUCGUGAAUAAGAACUUUUGGCUUCAAGAAGUGUUGUAUGUUGAACUGGAGAUGUAAUUUCCUGCUUACACUAAUAUCAGAAUACAUGGAAGUCAAAUUAACAAAAGGCUUUGUUAUGUGGUUAAGAAUGACAUCUGAUAUAAAUAAAUUACUCAAAUAAAGAAGUUCAAUGAGCACUUGAAACGACAUUAAAAACUUUAAGAUUGAUACAGUAUUGGUAUGGAGUUUGGUUUAAGGUUUCACUGCAAAAAGGGAUUUGGUGAUGUUGCUUCUAGGAUUUGCAGUAAAAUUGGCACGAGAAGCAAAGGAAGUUGCUGUAAAUGUCUAUGUUGCAAUGCGAUAUUGGCAUCCACUGACUGAGGAACCCAUUCAACAGGCAUGUUACAAGAAUUGAAACAACAUACGCUCACAUGUGCUCAUUCUUUAUUUAUAUUUCUCUACACUGGGAGCAUUCUAAAUAGAAUCUAUGUUUUCUUCACUUACAGAUGGUGUUUUGUAGGAAACUAUUAACAUUUUUUAUUGUUGAUAUAAGUGAACGAAAAAAAGAAUAUGCAUCAAUCUUUUGAAGAGAGCUGGACAUUACAUGACAUUGCAGGUACAAAAAUAAAGCAGCUACAUCUCAGUCUCCAGUUUAUCGUUGUUGGUGCAAAGCUUUUGUCGUGUUUGCUGCAGGGGGAGGCUGCAUCCUUUACAGAUAGAUAUGGACUAGCGAUUAGCCUUCCGUUGGCAACUACUACUUUACUAAAUAAGCAAAUUCAAUAUCGGUAUUCUGAUGGAGUAGGUAGUUACUAAUAUUUAGAAAGGGUGACUUUGUUUUAUGUGUUCUAAAUACACAUGAUGUCUUAAAUUUUAAUUUUUUAGUGCGUUUCUUUGUGUUGUAAUAUUAGCUUUUGAAAUGAUCA